GGUUGUUGAGUCAAGACAUAAGAGUUUGAGCUUUAUCUACUCUUCUCUGAGUAGUUAAGCAAAGCAGUGGUUGAUGGUGCUUUACCUGGCACACUAGGUUCAGAGACCUCAGUAACACACUGGCUCUGAAUCCAGUAGUCUUGGAAGCAGGCGAAAAAACAAAUGUUGCUACUCAAAUUGUCUCUCAUCUGCUAAGACGCACAGCAUGAGCUGUUAGGCUAUGAAUUGGUAGAAAAUUAGUUUGGCUCAGAAAUGUAGCAGUAAGGGUUUCUCCUCUUCUGUCACCUGCUCCUGACCAAGAAGCUUUCAACCAACUAGACAUUAUUGUCAUAGGUGUGGUCUUGGGUUGGUGGUUCUUCUACAGGGCCACUUGAAGGUGAAAGAGUUCUCUCCCAAAAACGUGAAGGAUAUGUUGUUAAUUGGGUAUACAUACAACAAAGUUCUAGCAGAGGAGAAGAAAUCUAAAGCUGAGGAAACGGCUUACGAAAAAUCUUGGGAAAUGGCUGAGGAGAAAUCUGAGGUUGUGGCAAAGAAGGAUGAGUAAUUCCAAUGGGGGAGUAACUUGGAAAGUAGUUGAAUAAGUAUCAAUCAGUUUCCACCUUUGUAUCGAGUAGAGUCUAGUUGUAUCAUAUUUUUGAAAUAGCAAG
rnacentral:lncRNA from 1 species